GCGUACGGGUGCGGAACGCGUGUGCAACCUGCCUUUAUCUGGGGGAUAGCCUUUCGAAAGGAAGAUUAAUACCCCAUAAUAUGUUGAAUGGCAUCAUUCGACAUUGAAAACUCCGGUGGAUAGAGAUGGGCACGCGCAAGAUUAGAUAGUUGGUGAGGUAACGGCUCACCAAGUCUACGAUCUUUAGGGGGCCUGAGAGGGUGAUCCCCCACACUGGUACUGAGACACGGACCAGACUCCUACGGGAGGCAGCAGUGAGGAAUAUUGGACAAUGGGUGAGAGCCUGAUCCAGCCAUCCCGCGUGAAGGACGACUGCCCUAUGGGUUGUAAACUUCUUUUGUAUAGGGAUAAACCUACCCUCGUGAGGGUAGCUGAAGGUACUAUACGAAUAAGCACCGGCUAACUCCGUGCCAGCAGCCGCGGUAAUACGGAGGGUGCAAGCGUUAUCCGGAUUUAUUGGGUUUAAAGGGUCCGUAGGCGGAUCUGUAAGUCAGUGGUGAAAUCUCACAGCUUAACUGUGAAACUGCCAUUGAUACUGCAGGUCUUGAGUGUUGUUGAAGUAGCUGGAAUAAGUAGUGUAGCGGUGAAAUGCAUAGAUUU
rnacentral:rRNA from 1 species